AUUGAACGCUGGCGGCAUGCCUUACACAUGCAAGUCGAACGGUAGCGCGGGGCAACCUGGCGACGAGUGGCGAACGGGUGAGUAAAGCAUCGGAACGUGCCCUGGAAUGGGGGAUAACGUAGCGAAAGUUACGCUAAUACCGCAUAUUCUGUGAGCAGGAAAGCAGGGGAUCGCAAGACCUUGCGUUCUGGGAGCGGCCGAUGUCGGAUUAGCUAGUUGGUGGGGUAAAAGCCUACCAAGGCGACGAUCCGUAGCGGGUCUGAGAGGAUGAUCCGCCACACUGGGACUGAGACACGGCCCAGACUCCUACGGGAGGCAGCAGUGGGGAAUUUUGGACAAUGGGCGGAAGCCUGAUCCAGCCAUGCCGCGUGAGUGAAGAAGGCCUCGGUUGUAAG
rnacentral:rRNA from 1 species